rnacentral:rRNA from 1 species
UACGGAGGGUGCAAGCGUUAUCCGGAUUUACUGGGUUUAAAGGGUGCGUAGGUGGAUUGGGAAGUCAGUGGUGAAAUACUACAGCGCAACUGUGGAACUGCCAUUGAUACUAUCAAUCUUGAAUGCAGUGGAGGCAGGCGGAAUGUGUCAUGUAGCGGUGAAAUGCUUAGAUAUGACACAGAACACCUAUUGCGAAGGCAGCUUGCUACACUGUGAUUGACACUGAGGCACGAAAGCGUGGGGAUCAAACAGG